GACGAACGCUGGCGGCGUGCUUAACACAUGCAAGUCGAACGGAAAGGCCCUGCUUUUGUGGGGUGCUCGAGUGGCGAAAGGGUGAGUAACACGUGAGUAACCUUCCCUUGACUUUGGGAUAACUUCAGGAAACUGGGGCUAAUACCGGAUAGGAGCUCCUGCUGCAUGGUGGGGGUUGGAAAGUUUCGGCGGGUGGGGAUGGACUCGCGGCUUAUCAGCUUGUUGGUGGGGUAGUGGCUUACCAAGGCUUUGACGGGUAGCCGGCCUGAGAGGGUGACCGGCCACAUUGGGACUGAGAUACGGCCCAGACUCCUACGGGAGGCAGCAGUGGGGAAUAUUGCACAAUGGGCGGAAGCCUGAUGCAGCAACGCCGCGUGCGGGAUGACGGCCUUCGGGUUGUAAACCGCUUUCGCCUGUGACGAAGCGUGAGUGACGGUAAUGGGUAAAGAAGCACCGGCUAACUACGUG
rnacentral:rRNA from 1 species